UUGUUGGACGCUAGCGGCGAUGGGGUGAGUACACGUGGGCAAUCUGCCCUAAAGACUGGGAUACCACUUGGAAACAGGUGCUAAUACCGGAUAACAACAUGAAUCGCAUGAUUCAAGUUUGAAAGGCGGCGUAAGCUGUCACUUUAGGAUGAGCCCGCGGCGCAUUAGCUAGUUGGUGGGGUAAAGGCCUACCAAGGCAAUGAUGCGUAGCCGAGUUG
rnacentral:rRNA from 1 species